rnacentral:rRNA from 1 species
AGCCUUUGGAAAGGAUUAAAGGUUAUACCUGCCCAAUGUUAUAUUAAUGGCCGCGGUACUUUGACCGUGCUAAGGUAGCACAAUCAAUUGGCCCUUAAUUAGGGUCAGGUAUGAAUGGAGUUACGGGGCUUAGCUGUCUCUAGGCUAUUUAAUUGAAGUUGCUAUAUAGGUGAAAAAGCCUGUAUUAAGAAAAAAGACGAGAAGACCCUUAGAGUUUUACUUAAAAAAGAGUUAUUUCUUCACUAGUUUUGUUGGGGCAACAUAGGAGAAGAACCAAACCUCCUAAAGGAUAUAAACCGAUGUUUUUAAAUAUGAAUAAACUACCUUAGGGAUAACAGCAUAAUUUUAAAAAUAAGUUUGUGACCUCGAUGUUGGACUAGGAAACUUAAGGGCUAGCCGCCUUUUGGUAAGGUUCUGUUCGAACUAUAAUUCCU